GUGCUAGAGGAUGACUAACAUCACAUAUGUUACCUCAUUUAAUCCUCAGAAUAUCCUUGGAAGGAUAAACAGUAUUGCAACUCACAAGAAAGCUUCAGUUACAGUCUUCUUCUUGGAUACUGAUGGGAAUGCCUAACUAAGAUCUGUCAUUGCGAGAGCUUGGAUUUUCCACAGUCCUUCUCCCCUAAGAACCGGUUAUGCUG